AAACUCUAAGUUCUAAGAAUGGAGGUUUGCAAAACCUUUGGUGAGAGUUUU
rnacentral:tRNA from 1 species